GGCUGGUCUUGAACUCCUGGCCUCAAGUGAUCCUCCUGCCUCGGCCUCCCAAAAUGUUGGGAUUACAGGUGUGAGUUGCUGUGCCCGGCCCUGAUACACAUUCUUUCUCUAAGCCAUAGACAGUAGGAUAGUAGAACCGACCAUCAGCAGGAUGUGUUGCCACAGAAGAAAUCGAUAUUGUGCUAGACUUCAUAUCAGGAAGCUGAGUACAGAUGGACUGACUCUCAUCAAUAAACGCCAUGGGAACACAAACCAGGUCAACAGUGGGGUGAGAUCAACGAACGCUGCUGUUGUUAUUUAUGAUAUGGAGCUGGUAUGACUCUAGGUCUGGUUGAACUCUUACCUCUAGUCUGGAGGGUAUAGAGGUCAUGCAUGAUUUAAUGCAGGUCAUGGCCAUUUCCAGGGAGAAGAGCAGCCCACGAAC